rnacentral:SRP_RNA from 1 species
GCCGGGCGAGGUGAUGCGCCUGUAGUCCCAGCUACUCGGGAGGCUGAGGCAGGAGAAUGGCGUGAACCCGGGAGGUGGAGCUUGCAGUGAGCUGAGAUCUGGCCACUGCACUCCAGCGAGACUGGAGUGAGACUCCGUCUCAAAACAAACAAACAAACAACAAAAAAACCAAAUAUAGGCUUUUUUUUUUUUUUUGAGAUGGAGUCUUGCUCUGUAGCCCAGGCUGGAGUGCAGUGGUGCGAUCUCGGCUCACUGCAAGCUCCACCUCCCGGGUUCAUGCCAUUCUCCUGCCUCAG